rnacentral:rRNA from 1 species
UACGAACUGUGCGAACGUUAUUCGGAAUCACUGGGCUUACAGGGUGCGUAGGCGGCUCAACAAGUCAGGUGUGAAAGCCCCCGGCUCAACCGGGGAACUGCGCUUGAAACUGUUUGGCUCGAGUCAGCUAGAGGUACACGGAACUUCCAGUGGAGCGGUGAAAUGUGUUGAUAUUGGAAGGAACACCGGAGGCGAAAGCGGUGUACUGGGGCUGGUCUGACGCUGAGGCACGAAAGCCAGGGGAGCGAACGGG